rnacentral:rRNA from 1 species
AGAAUCAACGCUGGCGGCGUGCCUAACACAUGCAAGUCGAACGGGAAAGUGGAGCAAUCCAUGAGUAUAGUGGCGACCGGGUGAGUAACACGUGACUAACCUACCUUCAAGUGGGGGAUAACCUCGGGAAACCGGGGCUAAUACCGCAUAAUAUCUUUGUGCUGAGAAAGCAGAGAUCAAAGGAGUAAUUCGCUGGAAGAGGGGGUCGCGGCUGAUUAGCUAGUUGGUGGGGUAACGGCCCACCAAGGCUUUGAUCGGUAGCCGGCCUGAGAGGGCGCACGGCCACACUGGAACUGAAACACGGUCCAGACUCCUACGGGAGGCAGCAGUGGGGAAUUUUGCGCAAUGGGGGAAACCCUGACGCAGCAACGCCGCGUGGAGGAUGAAGUCCCUUGGGACGUAAACUCCUUUCGACCGGGAAGAUUAUGACGGUACCGGUGGAAGAAGCCCCGGCUAACUUCGUGCCAGCAGCCGC